rnacentral:rRNA from 1 species
UACGUAGGGUGCGAGCGUUAAUCGGAAUUACUGGGCGUAAAGCGUGCGCAGGCGGUUUUGUAAGCCAGAUGUGAAAUCCCCGGGCUUAACCUGGGAAUGGCAUUUGGGACUGCAAGGCUGGAGUGCGGGCAGAGGAGACUGGAAUUCCUGGUGUAGCAGUGAAAUGCGUAGAUAUCAGGAGGAACACCGAUGGCGAAGGCAGGUCUCUGGGCUGACACUGACGCUCAUGCACGAAAGCGUGGGGAGCAAACAGG